UAGCGCGUUAGAUAACAAAAAAAAGAUUAUGUGGUAUGAUUACCAAUGAGACAACGACCAAAUCUAUGUUCAAAAUAAUGAACGAAAAACAAAUAUGUAACACUGCAACAAACGAUAAACACUGAAUUACAGGCUCCUGGGUUGGGACAGACACAUACAGAAUGUGGCGGACUUAAACAUGUUAGAGGGCACCCAACCCUCCUUACAAC
rnacentral:lncRNA from 1 species